rnacentral:rRNA from 1 species
AUUGAACGCUGGCGGCAGGCUUAACACAUGCAAGUCGAGCGAGCGGCGGACGGGUGAGUAAUGUCUGGGAAACUGCCUGAUGGAGGGGGAUAACUACUGGAAACGGUAGCUAAUACCGCAUACCAUCAGAUGUGCCCAGAUGGGAUUAGCUGGUAGGUGGGGUAACGGCUCACCUAGGCGACGAUCCCUAGCUGGUCUGAGAGGAUGACCAGCCAAACUGGAACUUGAGAACGGUCCAGACUCCUACGGGAGGGAGCAGUGGGGAAAAUUGGAAAAUGGGCGCAAGCCUGAUGCAGCCAUGCCGGGUGUGUGAAGAAGGGCUUCGGGUUGUAAAGGACGUUAAUCGGGACGACGGUACCGGAAUAGAAAGCAACGGCUAACUCCGUGCCAGCAGCCGCGGUAAUAC